rnacentral:rRNA from 1 species
UACAGAGGGGGCAAGCGUUAUUCGGAAUUAUUGGGCGUAAAGGGCGCGUAGGCGGCUUGGCAAGUGGAUGGUGAAAUCCCUCGGCUUAACCGAGGAACUGCCGUCCAAACUGCUUCGCUUGAGACCGGGAGAGGUGAGUGGAAUUCCCAGUGUAGCGGUGAAAUGCGUAGAUAUUGGGAGGAACACCAGUGGCGAAGGCGGCUCACUGGACCGGUACUGACGCUGAUGCGCGAAAGCGUGGGGAG